UACGGGGGGGCAAGGCGUUGUUCGGAAUUACUGGCGUAAAGGGCUCGUAGGCGGCCAACUAAGUUCAGACGUGAAAUCCCUCGGCUUAAACCGGGGGAACUGCGUCGUGAUACUGGAUGGCUUGAGGUUGGGAGAGGGAUGCGGGAAUUCCAGGUGUAGCGGUGAAAUGCGUAGAUAUCGGAGGAACACCGGGUGGCGAAGGCGGCAUCC
rnacentral:rRNA from 1 species